GAUCGUCCGCAAAUCGUAGAUGGCUCA
rnacentral:sRNA from 1 species